rnacentral:rRNA from 1 species
GUCAGCUCGUGUCGUAGAGUGUUCGGUUAAGUCCGGCAACGAGCGCAACCCACAUCCUUAGUUGCCAGCAGGUUAAGCUGGGCACUCUAGGGAAACUGCCCGUGAUAAGCGGGAGGAAGGUGUGGAUGACGUCAAGUCCUCAUGGCCCUUACGGGUUGGGCUACACACGUGCUACAAUGGCAGUGACAAUGGGUUAAUCCCAAAAAACUGUCUCAGUUCGGAUUGGGGUCUGCAACUCGACCCCAUGAAGUCGGAAUCGCUAGUAAUCGCGUAACAGCAUGACGCGGUGAAUACGUUCCCGGGCCUU